GACGAACGCUGGCGGCGUGCCUAAUACAUGCAAGUCGAACGAACUCUGGUAUUGAUUGGUGCUUGCAUCAUGAUUUACAUUUGAGUGAGUGGCGAACUGGUGAGUAACACGUGGGAAACCUGCCCAGAAGCGGGGGAUAACACCUGGAAACAGAUGCUAAUACCGCAUAACAACUUGGACCGCAUGGUCCGAGUUUGAAAGAUGGCUUCGGCUAUCACUUUUGGAUGGUCCCGCGGCGUAUUAGCUAGAUGGUGGGGUAACGGCUCACCAUGGCAAUGAUACGUAGCCGACCUGAGAGGGUAAUCGGCCACAUUGGGACUGAGACACGGCCCAAACUCCUACGGGAGGCAGCAGUAGGGAAUCUUCCACAAUGGACGAAAGUCUGAUGGAGCAACGCCGCGUGAGUGAAGAAGGGUUUCGGCUCGUAAAACUCUGUUGUUAAAGAAGAACAUAUCUGAGAGUAACUGUUCAGGUAUUGACGGUAUUUAACCAGAAAGCCACGGCUAACUACGUGCCAGCAGCCGCGGUAAUACGUAGGUGGCAAGCGUUGUCCGGAUUUAUUGGGCGUAAAGCGAGCGCAGGCGGUUUUUUAAGUCUGAUGUGAAAGCCUUCGGCUCAACCGAAGAAGUGCAUCGGAAACUGGGAAACUUGAGUGCAGAAGAGGACAGUGGAACUCCAUGUGUAGCGGUGAAAUGCGUAGAUAUAUGGAAGAACACCAGUGGCGAAGGCGGCUGUCUGGUCUGUAACUGACGCUGAGGCUCGAAAGUAUGGGUAGCAAACAGGAUUAGAUACCCUGGUAGUCCAUACCGUAAACGAUGAAUGCUAAGUGUUGGAGGGUUUCCGCCCUUCAGUGCUGCAGCUAACGCAUUAAGCAUUCCGCCUGGGGAGUACGGCCGCAAGGCUGAAACUCAAAGGAAUUGACGGGGGCCCGCACAAGCGGUGGAGCAUAUGGUUUAAUUCGAAGCUACGCGAAGAACCUUACCAGGUCUUGACAUACUAUGCAAAUCUAAGAGAUUAGACGUUCCCUUCGGGGACAUGGAUACAGGUGGUGCAUGGUUGUCGUCAGCUCGUGUCGUGAGAUGUUGGGUUAAGUCCCGCAACGAGCGCAACCCUUAUUAUCAGUUGCCAGCAUUAAGUUGGGCACUCUGGUGAGACUGCCGGUGACAAACCGGAGGAAGGUGGGGAUGACGUCAAAUCAUCAUGCCCCUUAUGACCUGGGCUACACACGUGCUACAAUGGAUGGUACAACGAGUUGCGAACUCGCGAGAGUAAGCUAAUCUCUUAAAGCCAUUCUCAGUUCGGAUUGUAGGCUGCAACUCGCCUACAUGAAGUCGGAAUCGCUAGUAAUCGCGGAUCAGCAUGCCGCGGUGAAUACGUUCCCGGGCCUUGUACACACCGCCCGUCACACCAUGAGAGUUUGUAACACCCAAAGUCGGUGGGGUAACCUUUUAGGAACCAGCCGCCUAAGGUGGGACAGAUGAUUAGGGUG
rnacentral:rRNA from 2 species